rnacentral:rRNA from 1 species
CCUACGGGUGGCAGCAGUGAGGAAUAUUGGUCAAUGGCCGGGAGCCUGAACCAGCCAAGUAGCGUGAAGGAUGACUGUCCUACGGGUUGUAAACUUCUUUUAUCAAGGAAUAAAGUGAGGCACGUGUGCCUUUUUGUAUGUACUUUAUGAAUAAGCAUCGGCUAACUCCGUGCCAGCAGCCGCGGUAAUACGGAGGAUCCGAGCGUUAUCCGGAUUUAUUGGGUUUAAAGGGCGCGUAGAUGGGUUGUUAAGUCAGUUGUGAACGUCUGCGGAUCAACCGUAAAAUUGCAGUUGAUACUGGCUGCCUUGAGAACAGGAGAGGUAGGCGGAAUGCGUGGUGUAGCGGUGAAAUGCUUAGAUAUCACGAAGAACUCCGAUUGCGAAGGCAGCUUACCAACCGGCCACUGACAUUGAGGCACGAAAGUGUGGGUAUCAAACAGGAUUAGAUACCCUAGUAGUC